rnacentral:ribozyme from 1 species
UUCAAUACUACAUUGCUACGGUAAGGAUCCGAGUCCUCAUAAAAGUUAGCAUGAGCUCACUUUACCUACUUCUAGUCAAUUCGUCCUCGUCAGACAGUAACAUGUCUUCCAAUAUCUGAGCUUGGGCGCAAGAGGAAAAGCAAAAUCUUGGUUCUUACGGGACUUUAAACUGCCAGGA